AAAAGGAUAGCUAUGGGUAAAGUAUUGCUCUUACAAGGCAGGGAUGUUUGUUAGACUCAAACUUCUUUUA
rnacentral:tRNA from 1 species